rnacentral:rRNA from 1 species
CCUACGGGAGGCAGCAGUAGGGAAUCUUGGACAAUGGGGGCAACCCUGAUCCAGCCAUGCCGCGUGAGUGAUGAAGGCCCUAGGGUCGUAAAGCUCUUUCGCCUGUGAUGAUAAUGACAGUAGCAGGUAAAGAAACCCCGGCUAACUCCGUGCCAGCAGCCGCGGUAAUACGGAGGGGGUUAGCGUUGUUCGGAAUUACUGGGCGUAAAGCGCGCGUAGGCGGAUUGGAAAGUUAGAGGUGAAAUCCCGGGGCUCAACCCCGGAACUGCCUUUAAAACUCCCAGUCUAGAGUUCGAGAGAGGUGAGUGGAAUUCCAAGUGUAGAGGUGAAAUUCGUAGAUAUUUGGAGGAACACCAGUGGCGAAGGCGGCUCACUGGCUCGAUACUGACGCUGAGGUGCGAAAGUGUGGGGAGCAAACAGGAUUAGAUACCCUGGUAGUCCACACCGUAAACGAUGAAUGCCAGUCGUCGGGUAGUAUACUAUUCGGUGACACACCUAACGGAUUAAGCAUUCCGCCUGGGGAGUACGGUCGCAAGAUUAAAACUCAAAUGAAUUGACGG